rnacentral:rRNA from 1 species
AUGCAUGUCUAAGUUCAAAUAACUUAUAAAGGUGAAACCGCGAACGGCUCAUUAUAACAGCUAUAAUGUACUUGAUCUUGAUAAUCCAACGUGGAUAACUGUGGUAAUUCUAGAGCUAAUACAUGCACCAAAGCUCCGACUUUAAUCAGGACGAGCGCAUCUAUUAGAUUAAAACCAAUCGGGUGGUUGCUUACCGGCUUCAACCCGUCAAUUGGUGACUCUGAAUAGCUCAGGCUGAUCGCAUGGUCUUCGUACCGGCGACGUGUCUAUCAAGUGUCUGCCUUAUCAACUUUCGAUGGUAGUUUAUGUGCCUACCAUGGUUGUAACGGGUAACGGAGAAUAAGGGUUCGACUCCGGAGAGGGAGCCUGAGAAACGGCUACCACAUCCAAGGAAGGCAGCAGGCGCGCAAAUUACCCACUCUCGGCAUGAGGAGGUAGUGACGAAAAAUAACGAGACCGUUCUCUUCGAGGCCGGUUAUCGGAAUGGGUACAAUUUAAACCCGUUAACGAGGAUCUAUGAGAGGGCAAGUCUGGUGCCAGCAGCCGCGGUAAUUCCAGCUCUCAAAGUGUAUAUCGUCAUUGCUGCGGUUAAAAAGCUCGUAGUUGGAUCUGCGCCUCAGGACCUGGUCCGUCCAUUGGACGAGAACUGGGCUCCUGGGCUCUUAGCGGUCGGUUUUCCGUGCGUUGCGUUGCCUUUGGGUGGCGGCGUGCGGUGGCCGACGAGUUUACCUUGAAAAAAUUAGAGUGCUCAAAGCGGGCUGACGCCUGAAUACUCGUGCAUGGAAUAAUGAAAUAGGAUCUCGGUUCUAUUUUGUUGGUUUUCUGAUCUGAGAUAAUGGUUAAGAGGGACGGACGGGGGCAUUCGUAUCGCUGCGUGAGAGGUGAAAUUCUUGGACCGUAGCGAGACGCCCGACUGCGAAAGCAUUUGCCAAGAAUGUCUUCAUUAAUCAAGAACGAAAGUCAGAGGUUCGAAGGCGAUCAGAUACCGCCCUAGUUCUGACCGUAAACGAUACCAACUAGCGUUCCGUCGGUGGUAAAUACGCCUUGACGGGCAGCUUCCCGGAAACGAAAGUCUUUCGGUUCCGGGGGAAGUAUGGUUGCAAAGCUGAAACUUAAAGAAAUUGACGGAAGGGCACCACCAGGAGUGGAGCCUGCGGCUUAAUUUGACUCAACACGGGAAAACUCACCUGGCCCGGACACCGUGAGGAUUGACAGAUUGAGAGCUCUUUCUUGAUUCGGUGGUUGGUGGUGCAUGGCCGUUCUUAGUUGGUGGAGUGAUUUGUCUGGUUUAUUCCGAUAACGAGCGAGACUCUAGCCUACUAAAUAGUCACUGGAUAAUUGCGUCCAGUGAGACUUCUUAGAGGGACAAGCGGUGCUUAGCCGCAUGAAGUUGAGCAAUAACAGGUCUGUGAUGCCCUUAGAUGUCCAGGGCUGCACGCGCGCUACACUGGAGGAAUCAGCGUGCAUUAACCAUUGCCGAGAGGCAUUGGUAACCCCUUGAAAAUCCUCCGUGAUCGGGAUCGGGAAUUGCAAUUAUUUCCCUUGAACGAGGAAUUCCUAGUAAGUGUGAGUCAUCAGCUCACGUUGAUUACGUCCCUGCCCUUUGUACACACCGCCCGUCGCUGCCCGGAACUGAGCCGUUUCGAGAAAAGCGGGGACCGCUGUUUCGCUGACGUUUCUACGUUGGCGAUUCUCUGGUGGAAACCGCCUUAAUCGCAGUGGCUUGAACCGGGCAAAAGUCGUAACAAGGUUUCCGUAGGUGAAC